GGUGCUCUUAGUGCGUAAGUAUUCUUGUGAUUAUUGUACCCUUUUCAUCAAUGUUUUUAAUUGAGUUAAAUGCUUUAGGACAUGAAAUUAGUUUCUAACUACCUUUGAGUUUGAUAUUCCUGAAGAUCCAAUGCUUUUGAGACUUUUUUGUUAAGGUUUAUUUCUCUCAUGAACUUGCAGCAUGCUUUCCGAUUUUCUUGGAAGGAAAUUUAUUUAUCUGAAAGAAAAUAAUAGUUUUUAACAAUUAAUAGUGUCAUUUUAAGAUUUAUAUUGAUGCUUUCUCU
rnacentral:misc_RNA from 1 species